CCAGCAGGCGACUAGUGCUCAGCCCCGCCCGGCGGGGGCGGGGUCUGCGGCGUCCGUGGGCGCCCCCCAGUGGCGGCGGGUGGCGCCGCACGGAGUUCGCCGCUUGCACCGGGACCGAUGCCAUCUGAGACGCACGCGAUGCUGGCGACGCUGGCGAGGGUGGCAGCUCUGCGCAGAACCUGCCUCUUCUCCGGCCGGGGCGGCGGGAGGGGGCUGUGGACUGGCCGCCCGCAGUCAGUAUGAACAAUAUAAAGCCAUUGGAAGGGGUAAAAAUUCUGGAUCUAACAAGGUCCUGGCGGGACCUUUUGCUACUAUGAAUUUAGGAGAUCUUGGAGCAGAAGUUAUAAAAG
rnacentral:lncRNA from 1 species